GAUGAAGAACGUAGCGAAAUGCGAUACGUAAUGUGAAUUGCAGAAUUCAGUGAAUCAUCGAAUCUUUGAACGCAUAUUGCGCUCUUUGGUAUUCCGACGAGCAUGCUUGUUUGAGUAUCAGUAAACACCUCAACCUCCUCUUGAUUUUUCAAAAGGAGGGUGGACUUGAGCUAUCCCAACAACCUUUAUCGGUCGGCGGGCGGCUUGAAAUGCAGGUGCAGCUGGACUUUUAUCUGAGCUAAAAGCAUAUCUAUUUAGUCCUCGUCAAACAGGAUUAUUACUUUUGCUGCAGCUAACAUAAAGGAUAAUUGUCCUCUUUGCUGACUGAUGCAGGAUUUUACGACACUUUAUGUGUUGUUCAACUCGAUCUCAAAUCAAGUAAGACUACCCGCUGAACUUAAGCAUAUCAAUAAGCGGAGGA
rnacentral:misc_RNA from 1 species